GCUGGGCUUGGUAGCGCGAGCCUGUAACCUGAGUGGGAGCAUUAAGAUGGUGGAACAAUUGGGCUUGUUCUCAAGGCUGGGCUGGGGUUGCUAUCUUCUGGCCUGCCCGUUCCAAGUGGUGAGUUGGGCUGUGGAGUCUCUGCUAAAGUGGAGGCUUCUCGGCCCUUAGAUUGGAGGGCACUGCGUCAGGCUGGCUUCACAGAGCAGCGAAAACCUCCUUCUCUCUGCAGUGGAAGGAUAACAGGCUGGUGCAAUCCUUGUGGCUUCACAGAGCAGCGAAAACCUCCUUCUCU
rnacentral:SRP_RNA from 1 species